AAUAUCUUUCUCUUUAUAUUUAGAUUCUGGACCCUCCUGUGCACCAGCUGGAGGAGGCAACUAAUAAACAAAUAAUUAAACACAACCAGAUACCACAAGCUAUCUCACAGCCCAAGGAAUUCCAUGUGGAGCUUGAAACCUUUCUCAUGGAUGGGAAAAUCCAACCCUUCACUGUUUCUGUUUCAACAUCAGCUAUUCUUGUGCUGGAUCUACAUUCCCAUUUGGCAGAUGAAGAUGUUUGUGGAUAUCUUGCAGGUUCAAACAUUGUUUUAUCAUUAGUGGAAAC